AUGAACGCUAGCGGCAGGCCUAAUACAUGCAAGUCGAACGGGAUCCAGAUCAAAGCUUGCUUUGGUUUGGUGAGAGUGGCGCACGGGUGCGUAACGCGUGAGCAACCUACCCUUGUCAGGGGGAUAGCCCGGCGAAAGUCGGAUUAAUACCGCAUGACAUCAUUGAGAGGCAUCUUUCGAUGAUCAAAGAUUUAUCGGACAAGGAUGGGCUCGCGUGACAUUAGCUAGUUGGUAAGGUAACGGCUUACCAAGGCUACGAUGUCUAGGGGCUCUGAGAGGAGAAUCCCCCACACUGGUACUGAGACCCGGACCAGACUCCUACGGGAGGCAGCAGUAAGGAAUAUUGGUCAAUGGACGGAAGUCUGAACCAGCCAUGCCGCGUGCAGGAAGACGGCCCUAUGGGUUGUAAACUGCUUUUAUACGGGAACAAACGUCGGUACGUGUACCGGUCUGAGUGUACCGUAAGAAUAAGGAUCGGCUAACUCCGUG
rnacentral:rRNA from 1 species